CGCAGCUGGAACCGGAGGCGAGCGCAGAGACUACACCCCGGAACCGCGGUGCACUGGAUUGGCUUCUUGGUAAACCCAUCGCCAAUAGGAGUACAAACCGAGGCCGCAUCAUCAGUAUCCAGGCAAAAAGACCUGACACACGUUGUGGCAGGGAGGUGAAACCAGGGCAGAUGGGAACUCCCCAACACUGGGCUUCCCAGAACGCGACACCGCCUUGGGGCCUGAGACCCUGAGAGGCAGGCCCAGGGACCUGGGGCUUUGCCCCUAGCCCUCACCUACUGCACAGAGGGCUCCUUGUCACGCUGUCUCCCUGAGUCGUGGCCCAGGAGCUGUGUGAGUCAUUGAUUCUCCAAUAGUUUGUUCUCAGGAUAUCUACACAGUCUUACAAAUUAGCGAGGAUCCCAGGGAUAAGUUUGUGUCUGUGGGCUAUACCUAUCAAUAUUUACCAUAGUAGGAAUAAAACAGUUUUAAAUAUUUUUAAAUUCAUUUGCAAUCAUAUGAAAACUGAAAUAUGGUUUUUAUUAAAAAUAACAAUUUUCCCAAAUAAAAGGGGCAGUGAGAACACUGGUUUUGUUUCAUUUUCCACUUUGCAAGUCUCUUUCUUGUCUGUCUCGUUAGUAGACCACUAGAUGUUAAGAUUUGCUUCUGCAUCUGUUGUGUUGUUUUGGUUGAAGUAUAUGAAAAAAAUUUACAUCCUUGACCAUAGGAGAAUAGUAUGUAUCAUAACCUUUUCAGAUAAUUAUGGAUGUUCAUCUUUGACAUUAUAUUAAAACUACACAAGUUGUACCUCCUCUGAGGUUAUUUGCAAACUGGAUCUUGAAACAGCAUCAUUGACUGUCUCCUGUGUUACAUUCAAUCCAUAGGCCCAUCUACAUAUGGAAUGGAUGCUGUACUAAUGCAUGAUUGUUGCAUUAGUGGCUCAUGUCCCACAGGAGAAUAAUAUGGCCCAGUGGUGGCAUCAGCCAGCUUCUAACCACACUGAGGCCCAGCUGUCAUUGUCGGAUCAGUUCCUGAUGUGCGGGCUGCUGUUUCUUCUGUCUUCAAUUCCAUAUUUUAAAAUAGCUAUAUUUUAAAAAUAAUUGGUGUUUUUGGGAGCCUGGGUGGCUCAGUUGGUUAAGUGUCUGACUCUUGAUCUCAUGGUUUAUGAGAUGGAGCCCUGUGUCAGGCUCUGCAUUGACAGGGUGGAGUCUGCUUGGGAUUCUCUCUGUCUCUGCCUCUCCCCUGCUCAUACUCACUCUAUCCUUCUCUGUCUCAUUAUAAAUAAAUAAACUUAAAAAAAUUUUUAAUAUAUAUUUUUUAAGGUUUAUUUAUUUUUGAGACAGAGAGAGACAGAGCAUGAACGGAGGAGGGUCAGAGAGAGAGGGAGACACAGAAUCCGAAACAGGCUCCAGGCUCUGAGCUGUCAGCACAGAGCCCGAUGUGGGGCUCGAACUCACGGACUGCGAGAUCAUGACCUGAGCUGAAGUCGGACGCUUAACUGACUGAGCCACCCAGGUGCCCCAAUAAAUAAAUAAAUUUUUAAAACCAUCUGGAAGGACUUUUAAAUUCUUAAAUAUCCCAAUAUACAUUGGCCCUGUUAGGGUUCUUAAGUGUUUAUUUCUUCUUGUAUCACUCCCUGAGGAGAAGCAUUCUCUCAGCUUAUCGAUUGUGUAACUUAUUCACACUAAAUCUAGAUUUAGGGUAGGUCUUAGGUUUAAUGUUUUAUAAGGAGGAAUAUUGGUCAUGGUCAUUCCAGACCCUACUUCCAAUAUUUAUCCUUUUGUCAUGGAGUACCUCAUUCAUGUCUCCUAACAUGUCUGCCAAAUUUGGUUACUGUUCUCUGUAUCUCCUCAGAGGCCCAUCUACUCAGGAAAAUCAGAACCAGAGGAGAGAAAAGAAAGGCAAGUUAUACUGAGAGCAAAAAAGAAGGAAUCAUGUAGUGAGGAAUAAGAGGGAAUUAGUGGGAUUCGUGUAGAGGGUGUAUUUCCUGAUCUCCCACUCUGGCACAUUGUCUCUCUCUUCUACACACACACACCCGUGGGCCCACAUCCCCCUACUCUCCACACACAGGCAGAGAUUUUUGUGAAGUCUGUGCAGUGUUACAUGGCCCUGGCCCAGCUCCUGGUGGAGCAGAACUUCCCAGCCAUUGCCAUCCACUGUGGGACAUCCUGGGAAGAGAGGUGAGUCAGAGAUGGAAAGAUGUUUUGUGUCCUUGGGAUGACAUGAGACCCCCGAGAGAAAGGACUGUGAACAUUUUUCUAAUUUUCAUUCUGACAAAGAUUUCUUGGUGUCCAUAGUUUAAAGACCUUUCAUGAUGAAUUCUUGUGGCCACCAACCUAUUUGGUCGAGGUAUGGACAUUGAGCAGGUAAACACUGCCAUCAACUGCCACCUGCCUGAGGAAUCCCACACCUACCUGGAUCAGGAGGCCUGAGCAGGCCAGUUCGCCCAAGGGCUUGGCCUUCACAUUCGUGUCAAGUGAAAACAAUGCCAAGAUCCUCAGUGAGGUACAGGGUCACAUUGAGGUCAGUCGUAGUGAGCUGCCUGAUGAGAUGGACAUUUCCUCCUCCCUUGCAGCCAUGGGAGAGGACGCACCCAUUCGAAGAGCCUGAUGGAGGUCUCACACCCACGAACCAUGAGAUCAUGCAUGACCUGAGCUGAAAUCAAGAGUCGGAUGCCCACCCGACUGACCCACCCAGGCACUCCUAGAGUUUAUUCUUCCUAAUUAAUUUCUUUUUAAAGAUAUUUUAAAUUUGAAUAUAGUUGACACACAAGAUUACAUUAGUUUUGGGUGUACAACCCAGUGACUCAGCUUCUGUAUACAUUUUCUUUUUUUGAGAGAGAGGCAGCCAGAGCAGGGAAGAGAGGUAGAGGGAGAGAGAGAGAGACAGAGAGAGAGAGAGAGAGAGAGAGAAUCUCAAGCCAGUUCAGUCCCGUGGGGCUUGAUUCCAUGACCUGGGAUCAUGACUGGAGAAACUACAGAGCCACCCAGGGGCCCUUCACUUUCUGUCUACACCAUGCUGUGCUCACCAGAGUGUAGCUGCCAUCUGUCACCACACAAUGAUGUUAUAGUCUCACUGACGAUAUUCCCUGUGCUGUGCCUUUUAUUCCUAUGAUCUGUUCCCUUCCAUAACUGGAGCCUGUGUCUCCCACUCCCCUCACCCACUGUGCCCAUCCUCCCAACCCCUUCCCUCUGGCAGUCAUCAGUUUGUUCUCUGUAUUUAUAGGUCUGAUUCUGCUGUUUGUUUCUUUACUCAUUUGUUUUGUUUUUUUUUUUAGAUUACACAUAUGAGUGAAAUCAUAUGGUACUUGUCUAUCUCAGUCUGAUUCAUUUCACUUAGCAGACAUACUGCCCUGUUUGUCCAUCCAUGUUGUCACAAGUGGCAGUACAUAUUUAUAUGUAUGUGUACAUACCACACAUCUUCCUUAUCCAUUUGUCUAUGGGUGGACACAGGUUCUAUCAGUAUGGCUUCUGAAAAAAAAAAACCUCACACUCUUAACAUCAUCUGGGAUGAGGGCGCCCCCUGGUGUCUGGGUCCCUGUCCAGGUGCUGGAGCUGAAGGAGACCCUAGGGAGGGCUUGGCUGAGGAGGAGAAAGGCAGCUGGGUCUUCUCUCCUUAGUCCUGUGGCCUCACGUGGGGUGGAAGGUAAGGGGACACCCCCUCCCUCACCCCACUGCUCUGCUCUCAGGUGGAUUCUGACUGAGAAGCCUGAGUGGGGUCUGGACUGUAAGUCAGGUGGAGAUGUCUGAGCAGAAGCCUGGGCGUCAGUGGGAAGAGGAAGAAGCUUCUGAGCAGCCCUGGACUCCACAGGGGUCAGGCUCAGGGGUGAGGCAGGAUUGCAGGAGAAGAGAGCUCAGGAGCCGGUGCCAUUGCUGAGGUUUCUGUGUCCCUGUGCACCUCCUCCUCCAGCCCCUUGAUGGAAAUAACAGGGAAAAUGUCUCAGACCUUCCUUUGCUUGUGUACUCUCUGUCUUUCAAAUAAAUAAACUAAAAAAAAAAAAAAAGAAUUGGUGUUUUCAUUUUCUUUGAGUACAUACUCAAGAGUGCAAUUACUGGAUUAUA